rnacentral:rRNA from 1 species
AACGUAGGUUCCGAGCGUUAUCCGGAUUUACUGGGCGUAAAGCGCGUUCAGGCGGUUUGGCAAGUCGGGCAUGAAAUCUCUCGGCUCAACCGGGAGAGGUUGUCCGAUACUGCUGGACUUGAGGGCAGUAGAGGGUGGUGGAAUUCCGGGUGUAGUGGUGAAAUGCGUAGAUAUCCGGAGGAACAUCAGUGGCGAAAGCGGCCACCUGGACUGCACCUGACGCUGACACGCGAAAGCUAGGGGAGCGAACGGG